rnacentral:lncRNA from 1 species
AGACUAAAAAGAUUUUUUUUCUUACUUUUAAAGUAACUUGGGACAGUUUUUAGAGGGUUUAAGAUAUGACAUGAAUAUUUUAGGAAUCAAAAAACAUUAAUAUGAAUUCUAUCUUCUCUAUCUUUUCUCACCUGCCUUAGGAGUGUGAACUAUCUAAAUGCAAUGCUCAAAAGCAGAGAAAAAGUAAGAAAAUUGUGCUUCUCCACCAGCAAAACCACCUUCCCCAAAUAACUGAAGUUGUUACUAUAGACAGGAAAUAUAAAUGUCUAAGUGACGACUCUCUUGGAAGGUGGCUCACCCCUCCCGUGAAUGCCUGGCUGGCCAUUUUUGAUGAGUCAGAAUUACUCUUGACUGGUUCACCCCAAAGGAGAGUCUGGCUUCUCUGAACAUGGUGAAAAGUAAAUAUGGCACUUAAAGUCAGGUACCAUCUUUCAGUCAAAUCAAGAUGUUUCUGUUUCUGAACAAUUCAUUGGAUGUACACUUAGAUGAUAAAACUUAUUAUAAUGUGUCACUAAAAAGCUUAUUUUAAUAUGUCACUAAAAGAUAACUAUGCUUAUUUCACAAAAUUUAUAUAAUCUUGUGAACAGGACAUUUAAAGUACCUGUCAC